rnacentral:lncRNA from 1 species
UGAUUGUUCAUUUCAGCCUUUCAUCAUAACUACAUGAAUGGUCUUUUAUCUUUUGCUUGCUUUCAUUUUUUCUCCAUAUUGUCAAAAUAAACAAUUGUGUUUUCUGCUUUGCUUAUGUACGUCAUUCAUGUACACAAGUACAUAAUGUCAGCGUACAUGUGUACAUGUGAAAGAGAGAAUUUUAUCUUUGUAAGUGUAAGGAUGAGGAAGUGUGGUUUACGUGAAUAGAAAUAGUUCUCAUUUUUGAGUGAAGCUUAGUUUAGAUCUUGAUACCAUAUGCGUUGAUAUUAUAUUUCCUACCUUCUCUAUGUAACAUGUGUGGUGUACACGUGCACAAGCGUUUUUGUGUACAAUAAAUAAGGAUGUGUACAUGUGUACGCUAAAUAUGAUAGUGUAUAUAUGUAAAACAACCAGAAAUUAAUCAAGCUAAGACCUACCAUGAAGCUAGCAUGAAAACACACACACUGGUCAGAAGCUCUGAAACAUGAUGAGAGCAUGAUUUGGAUAACUCACAACCAGCAUCAAUACUAUCUGUGAUACUCUCUAUCACUUUCUAUUGAUUUGGUAGCUCAGUCUCUUACCGGAUUUAGGUGUACAUAUGGUUUUCCGUGCACAUGGAUAUUGAAAAUUCAGGGUACAUGUGGACAUACAUAACCAAUAGAAAAAUCCAGGCAAUACGUACACAAAUUUUGUUAUAUC